rnacentral:sRNA from 1 species
UCGGAAGGAGCCGGUGCAGCCCUGUCCGAGGUGCGGCGGGGUCAGCGAGGCCCCUGCGGUGCUUCGCCCGCGCCUUCCCCUCCGCAGUCACCGGCCCUCUGGGCCUCCCACAGGAAUCAAAGAUCAACUCCCACUGAGGACAAAUGGACCUGUAAUUCCGGGUGUGACGAGAGAACGAGAUUUACCUUCCUGAAUUAAAAAACAGGUCAUUAAGCUUGGGCCCUGACUCUUCUUUGUGAGAAGGUGCAGAGAUGGAAACCUUACAAUCCAAGACUAAAACGAGGGUCCUUCCCUCAUGGCUGACAGCCCAGGUGGCUACAAAGAAUGUGGCACCAAUGAAGGCCCCCAAGAGGAUGAGAAUGGCAGCAGUGCCAGUGGCAGCAGCAAGGUGCGACAACCCUGGUCAGAAGACUGUUGCGAAUUGGCAAGUGGAGCAGGGGCCUCCAUGACCUGGGCCAGGUCUUCCAGCCUAGGCAGAACAGCAAGAUGGGCGGGUGUUUCAGUCUGAUCAUCUCUUGAGCUUUUAGAAGGUGGAGGGGCUGUGGGGGGAUGCAAAGCGGGUUAACCCUCGAGGAC